UAAUACGUAGGGUGCGAGCGUUAAUCGGAAUUACUGGGCGUAAAGCGUGCGCAGGCGGUUUUGUAAGACAGAUGUGAAAUCCCCGGGCUUAACCUGGGAACUGCAUUUGUGACUGCAAGGCUAGAGUGCGGCAGAGGGGGGUAGAAUUCCGCGUGUAGCAGUGAAAUGCGUAGAUAUGCGGAGGAAUACCGAUGGCGAAGGCAGCCCCCUGGGUCGACACUGACGCUCAUGCACGAAAGCGUGGGGAGCAAACAGG
rnacentral:rRNA from 1 species